AUUGCUCGAACACACUGCCUCCAAAAGCCCCCUCCGACCUCCGUGAAAACUCAUCCCCGCAAAACCCCGCUCUGCGAAAACUCCUCUCCGCCACUUCUCCGCGCCUGCCGCGAAACUCCCACUGCCUCCGAAACUCCACGAAAAACCCAUCUCCGCCACUUCUCCGUGCCGGCCGUGACCUAACCUCCUCCGCCACUCCUCCGUGCCGCCAGUGACCUAACUUCCUCCGCCACUGCUCCACGCCAUUUUCCAGUGCUUCACUCCCAUCGCCAUUGAACACUGACGACUCUUUCUCCAUUACAAAGCUACCCUCCUUCCUUCGAGAUUAUCUGUUCAAUGUUCACACAAUUGGGAUACUACCAAGGCAUCGCGAAGUAGAACGUACUAAGCCUUUAUCGGGAGCAAUAGUGCACUUCGCUGGUCAUGAUGAGUUGCAGCAAACACAUCGUUACGUUUUGGCAAAUGAUGAUGAGAUUGAUCCUUAUAUCGGAUUAGAUCUGACUCUAUGUCAUCCUUUGGAAAGCUUAAAAUCAAGUUCGAUAGUGAUGACACAAUUCAUGCUUCGAUCAAGAGAAUAGGAUAACCUGUAAUGAUUGGGAAGGGUAAAGAAAAAAUUGCAACUACGUCCACUAACAAGAACUUGGAGGGUAAGACAAUGCUGGAACUACAAACACUAAAACAACAAGAACAUCUAGAGCUCAUAUCAUGGAUAAGCUUGCUAGACAAAGGGUUCAUGGAAUUCGAUAAGAGGUAAGAUUCAAUAAACUUGGACAGCCAAUGGGAGAAGCUGCUAUUGAAAUUCAAAGUUACAUUGACUUCCUUGCUCGAGAAAAGGUCAAGAUAACUUACAAGACGUGGAAGAAAGUUUCAAAUGAUGUUAAAGAAUUGAUAUGAUAAUCUAUUAAUGUAAAGUAAGUUUGUGUGUUUAGUCAAAUGUUAGUAUCCAUAUCGUUAUGAUAUAUUUAUAUUAUGUAAUUCUUUUUACUGGAUUUCCAAUUUUAUGUUUUAUAGUUGAAAUCCCA